UACGUAGGGUGCGAGCGUUGUCCGGAAUUAUUGGGCGUAAAGGGCUCGUAGGCGGUCUGUUGCGUCAGGAGUGAAAACUCGGGGCUUAACCCCGAGCCUGCUUCUGAUACGGGCAGACUAGAGGUAUGCAGGGGAGAACGGAAUUCCUGGUGUAGCGGUGAAAUGCGCAGAUAUCAGGAGGAACACCGGUGGCGAAGGCGGUUCUCGGGGCAGUACCUGACGCUGAGGAGCGAAAGUGUGGGGAGCGAACAGG
rnacentral:rRNA from 1 species